rnacentral:rRNA from 1 species
AACGUAGGUUCCGAGCGUUAUCCGGAUUUACUGGGCGUAAAGCGCGUUCAGGCGGUUUGGCAAGUCGGGCAUGAAAUCUCUCGGCUCAACCGGGAGAGGUUGUCCGAUACUGCUGGACUUGAGGGCAGUAGAGGGUGGUGGAAUUCCAGGUGUAGCGGUGAAAUGCGUAGAUAUCUGGAGGAACACCGGUGGCGAAGGCGGCAUCCUGGACCAACACUGACGCUGAGGAGCGAAAGCCAGGGGAGCAAACGGG